UGGGGAAUAUUGCACAAUGGGCGGAAGCCUGAUGCAGCGACGCCGCGUGAGGGAUGACGGCCUUCGGGUUGUAAACCUCUUUCAGUAAGGGUGAAGGCUCUCUUUUGUGGAGGGUUGACAGUACUUGCAGAAGAAGCGCCGGCUAACUACGUGCCAGCAGCCGCGGUAAUACGUAGGGCGCGAGCGUUGUCCGGAAUUAUUGGGCGUAAAGGGCUUGUAGGUGGCGUGUCGCGUCUGCUGUAAAAUUCCAGGGCUUAACUUUGGGAUUGCAGUGGGUACGGGCAUGCUAGAGUGCAGUAGGGGAGAUUGGAAUUCCUGGUGUAGCGGUGAAAUGCGCAGAUAUCAGGAGGAACACCGGUGGCGAAGGCGGGUCUCUGGGCUGUUACUGACGCUGAGGAGCGAAAGCGUGGGGAGCGAACAGG
rnacentral:rRNA from 1 species